UACAGAGGUCUCAAGCGUUGUUCGGAUUCAUUGGGCGUAAAGGGUGCGUAGGCGGCGCGGUAAGUCGGGUGUGAAAUCUCGGGGCUUAACUCCGAAACUGCAUUCGAUACUGCCGUGCUUGAGGACUGGAGAGGAGACUGGAAUUUACGGUGUAGCGGUGAAAUGCGUAGAUAUCGUAAGGAAGACCAGUGGCGAAGGCGGGUCUCUGGACAGUGACUGACGCUGAAACGCGAAAGCGUGGGGAGCAAACAGG
rnacentral:rRNA from 1 species